GAUGAACGCUGGCGGCGUGCCUAAUACAUGCAAGUCGAGCGAACAGACGAGGAGCUUGCUCCUCUGACGUUAGCGGCGGACGGGUGAGUAACACGUGGAUAACCUACCUAUAAGACUGGGAUAACUUCGGGAAACCGGAGCUAAUACCGGAUAAUAUAUUGAACCGCAUGGUUCAAUAGUGAAAGACGGUUUUGCUGUCACUUAUAGAUGGAUCCGCGCCGCAUUAGCUAGUUGGUAAGGUAACGGCUUACCAAGGCAACGAUGUGUAGCCGACCUGAGAGGGUGAUCGGCCACACUGGAACUGAGACACGGUCCAGACCCCUACGGGAGGCAGCAGUAGGGAAUCUUCCGCAAUGGGCGAAAGCCUGACGGAGCAACGCCGCGUGAGUGAUGAAGGUCUUCGGAUCGUAAAACUCUGUUAUUAGGGAAGAACAAAUGUGUAAGUAACUAUGCACGUCUUGACGGUACCUAAUCAGAAAGCCACGGCUAACUACGUG
rnacentral:rRNA from 1 species